rnacentral:rRNA from 1 species
UACAGAGGGUGCAAGCGUUGUUCGGAAUUAUUGGGCGUAAAGCGCGUGUAGGCGGCCGUGCAAGUCCCAUGUGAAAUCCCACGGCUUAACCGUGGAAGUGCAUGGGAAACUGGAAAGCUUGAGUACUUAAGAGGAUCGCGGAAUUCCCGGUGUAGAGGUGAAAUUCGUAGAUAUCGGGAGGAACACCAGUGGCGAAGGCGGCGAUCUGGGAAGAUACUGACGCUGAGGUGCGAAAGCGUGGGGAGCGAACAGG